CCACGGGCCCUCACGGUGAGCGUUACAGUUCUUAAAGAUGGUGUGUCUGGAGUUUGUUCCAUCUGAUGUUUGGACGUGUUUGGAGUUUCUUCCUUCUGGUGGGUUCCUGAUCUCGCUGGCUUCAGCAGUGAAGUUGCAGACCUUCACGCUUUGAGAACUAGAUUAAGUAAUUCCUGCAAGGCAAACCAAGUGAUGAUGAGCUCUCUCAGCUUCUGUUUGUCUGAUAAACUUUCUAUUCUCUCUCACUUCUGAAGGAAAGCUUUGCCAGGGUUUCAUUCAUUUUAAAGCUAACAGAAAAACAACAGAUUUUUAUAAUUAAGUUCCUGAGAAACCAUGAUAAAUACAGCAUUACACAUACUGUCGAUGAUAUUUUGGAUUUUGUAAGACACCAGAGAUCAAAACAUGCCAAAUUGGACUUCUUGUCAUUGUCUAUACAAACAAAACUCACAGACAUCAAAGCCACUAUGACCAUGCUGCUGAUGCAAGGACUGGUGUGUGCAAGAAAGUUUGUAUUUGGAACCAUCUCUAUCUUACACUUUUCAAAGUAAGAUAACCUAGGUACUUCCUACUUAAAACUCACAUGUCAAUAUGUUUUUGUGCUUCUCAAAACCUUCCUGGGCUAAGGCACAUGGAGCAAAUGUUAAUUUGCUCAAGAGUCCUGUCCUUUGCCUGUGUUUGUUACCAUUAAACUAUGACAUGGGCAUCAUGGCUUCUCCUGAAGUCAUUGUUUAUGCUUUCAUCAUAUUAUUCUCCCUUGCAAAUGCUAUUGUUCCUGAGUAUAAUAAAUCACCGGAUUUCCUUAUCGCAAGCUUGUUUGCCUUUCUUACUUGCUUUCUCUGUUAUCUAAUAUUUUAGUAAUAAUAACAACUACUUUCCAUUGAGUAGUUCAUUUGUGUCAGGCCCUAAGCUAAACACUUUAUGUUCAUAAUGAUAUUGAAGCAACAUUACAAACUUAUAAAUCCUGUUAACAACCCCAUAUUUUAGAUAAAGAAAAGAGGCUCAGAG
rnacentral:lncRNA from 10 species